UACAGAGGGGGCGAGCGUUGUUCGGAAUUACUGGGCGUAAAGGGCGCGUAGGCGGCCUGCUAAGUCGGACGUGAAAUCCCUCGGCUCAACCGGGGAACUGCGUCCGAUACUGGCGGGCUUGAAUCCGUGAGAGGAAUGCGGAAUUCCAGGUGUAGCGGUGAAAUGCGUAGAUAUUAGGAAGAACACCAGUGGCGAAGGCGGCUCACUGGCCCGGUACUGACGCUGAGGCGCGAAAGCGUGGGGAGCAAACAGG
rnacentral:rRNA from 1 species